AUAUCUGUUCGGCUUGAAUUUGAUAGCGAUAGAUCAGACGGCUUUUCAGAGUUCCACUGGAACCCUAACUCUGACUUUGACGAGUAAUCAAAUCUCAAAGAUUCCGCAUGAUGUCUUUGACAACCUUAAAGGACUUACAAGCUUGUGGCUUAGCCAAAAUCACAUUUCGCAGCUUCCUGACCACGUUUUUGACAGCCUAACUAGUCUUGGAAUCUUGUCCUUGGACCAGAAUCGACUCAUAAGCCUUCCUCAUAAUAUAUUUGGAAAUCUGACAAACCUUAAACUACUGU